GUCUCUUUGGAGACAUGCAAUAAAAUUGAAAUGAUACAGAGAAUAUUAGCAUGGACCCUAUGCAAGGAUGACAUGCACAAAUCGAGAAAUGGUCCAAAUUUUG
rnacentral:snRNA from 1 species